rnacentral:rRNA from 1 species
CUACGGGGGGCACCAGCAAGGAAUAUUGGGCAAUGGGCGAAAGCCUGACCCAGCGACACCGCGUGGGGGAAGAAGGCCUUCGGGUUGUAAACCCCUUUUCCCAGGGAAGAAUCAUGACGGUACCUGGGGAAUAAGUCUCGGCUAACUACGUGCCAGCAGCCGCGGUAAUACGUAGGAGGCGAGCGUUAUCCGGAUUUACUGGGCGUAAAGAGGGCGUAGGUGGCCUUUUAAGUCAAAUGUGAAAUCUCCCGGCUUAACUGGGAGGGUGCGUUUGAUACUGAUGGGCUAGAGUGCAGCAGAGGGAGUCGGAAUUCCCGGUGUAGUGGUGAAAUGCGUAGAUAUCGGGAAGAACACCAGUGGCGAAGGCGGUCUCCUGGGCUGUAACUGACGCUGAGGCCCGAAGGCGUGGGGAGCAAACAGGAUUAGAUACCCUCGUAGUC